AUUGAACGCUGGCGGCAGGCCUAACACAUGCAAGUCGAGCGGUAGAGAGAAGCUUGCUUCUCUUGAGAGCGGCGGACGGGUGAGUAAUGCCUAGGAAUCUGCCUGAUAGUGGGGGAUAACGUCCGGAAACGGACGCUAAUACCGCAUACGUCCUACGGGAGAAAGUGGGGGCUCUUCGGACCUCACGCUAUCAGAUGAGCCUAGGUCGGAUUAGCUAGUUGGUGGGGUAAAGGCUCACCAAGGCGACGAUCCGUAACUGGUCUGAGAGGAUGAUCAGUCACACUGGAACUGAGACACGGUCCAGACUCCUACGGGAGGCAGCAGUGGGGAAUAUUGGACAAUGGGCGAAAGCCUGAUCCAGCCAUGCCGCGUGUGUGAAGAAGGUCUUCGGAUUGUAAAGCACUUUAAGUUGGGAGGAAGGGUCGUUACCUAAUACGUGACGAUUUUGACGUUACCGACAGAAUAAGCACCGGCUAACUCUGUGCCAGCCGCCGCGGUAAUAC
rnacentral:rRNA from 1 species